GACCCCCAUCGUUCUCAUGGACUACUGGCUUUUUACUGGUUUUUAUGAAGAGAUUUGGCUUUUUAUUCUUGUAAUAUUUGUUAUCAGAGGUCUCAUCAUGGAUAAAGAGAGAGGCAAUUUAGUUAGGGCUGAUCGCUUUGGCUAUGUGAAGCGGGCUAUGCAUGGUACCAAUAUGCUGUCAACUAAGGCUGUAAGCGAGAUUUAUGGGAGAGAACUGGUUGAUCUUCGAA